AUACUUAUGAGGCAGGGGAGAUACCAUGAUCCGGAAGGUGGUUUUCUCAGGGCGAUCCAUUGCACUCUAGAUGUGCUGACCCCUGCGAUUUCCCCAAAUGUGGGAAACUCGACUGCAUAAUUUAUGGUAGUGGGGGACUAUGUUCGUGCUUUCCCUUG